GAUGAACGCUGGCGGCGUGCCUAAUACAUGCAAGUCGAGCGAACGGACGAGAAGCUUGCUUCUCUGAUGUUAGCGGCGGACGGGUGAGUAACACGUGGAUAACCUACCUAUAAGACUGGGAUAACUUCGGGAAACCGGAGCUAAUACCGGAUAAUAUUUUGAACCGCAUGGUUCAAAAGUGAAAGACGGUCUUGCUGUCACUUAUAGAUGGAUCCGCGCUGCAUUAGCUAGUUGGUAAGGUAACGGCUUACCAAGGCAACGAUGCAUAGCCGACCUGAGAGGGUGAUCGGCCCCACUGGAACGGAGGCACGGGCCAGACUCAGAGGGGAUGCAGCAGAAGGGAAUGGAACGCAAUGUGAGAAAGUAUGACCGAACAAAGCGACGUGAUGUAUAAAGGUAUUCGGAUUGUAAGACUCUGUUAUUAUGGAACGACAACUGUGCGAGGAACUAUACACGUCCUGACGGGACCUAAUCAGUAAGCUGCGGCUAACUACGUG
rnacentral:rRNA from 1 species